rnacentral:rRNA from 1 species
UACGAAGGGGGCUAGCGUUGUUCGGAAUUACUGGGCGUAAAGCGCACGUAGGCGGAUACUUAAGUCAGGGGUGAAAUCCCGGGUCUCAACCCCGGAACUGCCUUUGAUACUGGGUAUCUCGAGUCCGGAAGAGGUGAGUGGAAUUCCGAGUGUAGAGGUGAAAUUCGUAGAUAUUCGGAGGAACACCAGUGGCGAAGGCGGCUCACUGGUCCGGUACUGACGCUGAGGUGCGAAAGCGUGGGGAGCAAACAGG